ACGCUGGCGGCGUGCUUAACACAUGCAAGUCGAACGAAAAGAGGGAAAGAGCUUGCUCUUUUCCGGAAUUUGAGUGGCAAACGGGUGAGUAACACGUAAACAACCUGCCUUCAGGAUGGGGACAACAGACGGAAACGACUGCUAAUACCGAAUAAGUUCCAAGAGCCGCAUGGCCCAUGGAAGAAAAGGUGGCCUCUACCUGUAAGCUAUCGCCUGAAGAGGGGUUUGCGUCUGAUUAGCUGGUUGGUGGGGUAAGAGCCUACCAAGGCGACGAUGCGUAGCCGAACUGAGAGGUUGAUCGGCCACACUGGGACUGAGACACGGCCCAGACUCCUACGGGAGACAGCAGUUAGGAAUAUUCGUCAAUGGGGGGAACCCUGAACGAGCAAUGCCGCGUGAAUGAAGAAGGCCCUAUGGGUUGUAAAAUUCUGUUGUAUGGAAAGAAAUGUAAAGUUAGGAAAUGAACUUUACUUGACGGUACCAUUCAAGAAAGCCACGGCUAACUACGUG
rnacentral:rRNA from 1 species